rnacentral:siRNA from 1 species
GGGGUCAGACACAAAGGUUAUGAA